rnacentral:rRNA from 1 species
AGGACGAACGCUGGCGGCGUGCUUAACACAUGCAAGUCGAACGGUGAAGCCUUCGGGUGGAUCAGUGGCGAACGGGUGAGUAACACGUGGGCAAUCUGCCCUGCACUCUGGGACAAGCCCUGGAAACGGGGUCUAAUACCGGAUAUUACCUGGGAGGGCAUCUUCCCGGGUGUAAAGCUCCGGCGGUGCAGGAUGAGCCCGCGGCCUAUCAGCUUGUUGGUGGGUGAUGGCCUACCAAGGCGACGACGGGUA